CCCAAGCCAGACAUAUCCCCCUGCAGCCCAAGACUGGUUGCCCACUGAAGCUAAGCAGGGUUGAACCUGGUCAGUACCUGGAUGGGAGACCUCCUGGGAAAACUACGUUGCUGUUGGAA
rnacentral:rRNA from 1 species